UACGUAGGGUGCGAGCGUUGUCCGGAAUUAUUGGGCGUAAAGAGCUUGUAGGUGGCUCGUUGCGUCGGGAGUGAAAACCUGCGGCUUAACCGCAGGCCUGCUUCCGAUACGGGCGAGCUAGAGUUCGGCAGGGGAGACUGGAAUUCCUGGUGUAGCGGUGGAAUGCGCAGAUAUCAGGAGGAACACCGGUGGCGAAGGCGGGUCUCUGGGCCGAUACUGACACUGAGGCGCGAAAGCUAGGGGAGCAAACAGG
rnacentral:rRNA from 1 species